rnacentral:rRNA from 1 species
UACGUAGGGGGCAAGCGUUGUCCGGAUUUACUGGGCGUAAAGAGCGUGUAGGCGGCCACGCAGGUCCGUUGUGAAAACUGGAGGCUCAACCUCCAGCUGUCGACGGAAACCGUGUGGCUAGAGUCCGGAAGAGGAGAGUGGAAUUCCUGGUGUAGCGGUGAAAUGCGCAGAUAUCAGGAAGAACACCCGUGGCUAAGGCGGCUCUCUAGUACGGUACUGACGCUGAGACGCGAAAGCGUGGGGAGCGAACAGG